rnacentral:rRNA from 1 species
CGAUCGGUAGCCGGACUGAGAGGUUGAACGGCCACAUUGGGACUGAGACACGGCCCAGACUCCUACGGGAGGCAGCAGAGGGGAAUAUUGCACAAUGGGGGAAACCCUGAUGCAGCGACGCCGCGUGGAGGAAGAAGGUCUUCGGAUUGUAAACUCCUGUUGUUGAGGAAGAUAAUGACGGUACUCAACAAGGAAGUGACGGCUAACUACGUGCCAGCAGCCGCGGUAAAACGUAGGUCACAAGCGUUGUCCGGAAUUACUGGGUGUAAAGGGAGCGCAGGCGGGCGAUCAAGUUGGAAGUGAAAUCCAUGGGCUCAACCCAUGAACUGCUUUCAAAACUGAUUGUCUUGAGUAGUGCAGAGGUAGGCGGAAUUCCCGGUGUAGCGGUGGAAUGCGUAAAUAUCGGGAGGAACACCAGUGGCGAAGGCGGCCUACUGGGCACCAACUGACGCUGAGGCUCGAAAGUGUGGGUAGCAAACAGGAUUAGAUACCCUGGUAGUCCACACCGUAAACGAUGAUUACUAGGUGUUGGAGGAUUGACCCUUUCAGUGCCGCAGUUAACACAAUAAGUAAUCCACCUGGGGAGUACGACCGCAAGGUUGAAACUCAAAGGAAUUGACGGGGGCCCGCACAAGCAGUGGAGUAUGUGGUUUAAUUCGACGCAACGCGAAGAACCUUACCAAGUCUUGACAUCCUGCGACGAUGCUAGAAAUAGUAUUUUCCUUCGGGACGCAGAGACAGGUGGUGCAUGGUUGUCGUCAGCUCGUGUCGUGAGAUGUUGGGUUAAGUCCCGCAACGAGCGCAACCCUUAUGGUCAGUUACUACGCAAGAGGACUCUGGCCAGACUGCCGUUGACAAAACGGAGGAAGGUGGGGAUGACGUCAAAUCAUCAUGCCCUUUAUGACUUGGGCUACACACGUACUACAAUGGCGUUAAACAAAGAGAAGCAAGACCGCGAGGUGGAGCAAAACUCAGAAACAACGUCCCAGUUCGGACUGCAGGCUGCAACUCGCCUGCACGAAGUCGGAAUUGCUAGUAAUCGCAGAUCAGCAUGCUGCGGUGAAUACGUUCCCGGGCCUUGUACACACCGCCCGUCACACCAUGAGAGCCGGGGGGACCCGAAGUCGGUAGUCUAACCGCAAGGAGGACGCCGCCGAAGGUAAAACUGGUGAUUGGGGUGAAGUCGUAACAAGGUAGCCGUAGGAGAACCUGCGGCUG